rnacentral:rRNA from 1 species
AGAGUUUGAUCCUGGCUCAGGAUGAACGCUAGCGGCAGGCCUAAUACAUGCAAGUCGAGGGGCAUCACGGGAGCAAUCCUGGUGGCGACCGGCAGACGGGUGCGUAACGCGUAUGUAACCUACCUCUCAACGGGGGAUACUCUCGGGAAACUGAGAACAAUACCCCAUGGUAUGGCUGAAGGGCAUCCUUUGGUCAUUAAAGAUUUAUCAUUGAGAGAUGGGCAUGCGUUGCAUUAGCUAGUUGGUGAGGUAACGGCUCACCAAGGCGAUGAUGCAUAGCUGGUCUGAGAGGAUGAUCAGCCACACUGGCACUGAGACACGGGCCAGACUCCUACGGGAGGCAGCAGUAGGGAAUAUUGGACAAUGGGCGCAAGCCUGAUCCAGCCAUGCCGCGUGAAGGAUGAAGGCCCUCUGGGUUGUAAACUUCUUUUAGCAGGGGAUAAACCACCACUAUACGUGGUGCUGAAGGUACCUGCAGAAUAAGCACCGGCUAACUCCGUGCCAGCAGCCGCGGUAAUACGGAGGGUGCAAGCGUUGUCCGGAUUUAUUGGGUUUAAAGGGUGCGUAGGCGGACUUGUAAGUCAGCGGUGAAAUCCCAAGGCUCAACCUUGGAAUUGCCAUUGAUACUGCAGGUCUUGAAUCAGGUCGAGGUAGUUGGAAUACGUAGUGUAGCGGUGAAAUGCUUAGAUAUUACGUAGAACACCUAUUGCGAAGGCAGAUUACUAGGCCUGAAUUGACGCUGAUGCACGAAAGUGUGGGGAGCAAACAGGAUUAGAUACCCUGGUAGUCC